GGGUGUGACUGCGUACCUUUUGUAUAAUGGGUCAGCGACUUAUAUUCUGUAGCAAGGUUAACCGAAUAGGGGAGCCGGAGGGAAACCGAGUCUUAACCGGGCGUUAAGUUGCAGGGUAUAGACCCGAAACCCGGUGAUCUAGCCAUGGGCAGGUUGAAGGUUGGGUAACACUAACUGGAGGACCGAACCGACUAAUGUUGAAAAAUUAGCGGAUGACCUGUGGCUGGGGGUGAAAGGCCAAUCAAACCGGGAGAUAGCUGGUUCUCCCCGAAAGCUAUUUAGGUAGCGCCUCGUGAAUUCAUCUCCGGGGGUAGAGCACUGUUUCGGCUAGGGGGCCAUCCCGGCUUACCAACCCGAUGCAAACUGCGAAUACCGGAGAAUGUUAUCACGGGAGACACACGGCGGGUGCUAACGUCCGUCGUGAAGAGGGAAACAACCCAGACCGCCAGCUAAGGUCCCAAAGUCAUGGUUAAGUGGGAAACGAUGUGGGAAGGCCCAGACAGCCAGGAUGUUGGCUUAGAAGCAGCCAUCAUUUAAAGAAAGCGUAAUAGCUCACUGGUCGAGUCGGCCUGCGCGGAAGAUGUAACGGGGCUAAACCAUGCACCGAAGCUGCGGCAGCGACACUGUGUGUUGUUGGGUAGGGGAGCGUUCUGUAAGCCUGUGAAGGUGUGUCGUGAGGC
rnacentral:rRNA from 1 species